rnacentral:rRNA from 1 species
CGAACUCUGGUAUUGAUUGGUGCUUGCAUCAUGAUUUACAUUUGAGUGAGUGGCGAACUGGUGAGUAACACGUGGGAAACCUGCCCAGAAGCGGGGGAUAACACCUGGAAACAGAUGCUAAUACCGCAUAACAACUUGGACCGCAUGGUCCGAGUUUGAAAGAUGGCUUCGGCUAUCACUUUUGGAUGGUCCCGCGGCGUAUUAGCUAGAUGGUGAGGUAACGGCUCACCAUGGCAAUGAUACGUAGCCGACCUGAGAGGGUAAUCGGCCACAUUGGGACUGAGACACGGCCCAAACUCCUACGGGAGGCAGCAGUAGGGAAUCUUCCACAAUGGACGAAAGUCUGAUGGAGCAACGCCGCGUGAGUGAAGAAGGGUUUCGGCUCGUAAAACUCUGUUGUUAAAGAAGAACAUAUCUGAGAGUAACUGUUCAGGUAUUGACGGUAUUUAACCAGAAAGCCACGGCUAACUACGUGCCAGCAGCCGCGGUAAUACGUAGGUGGCAAGCGUUGUCCGGAUUUAUUGGGCGUAAAGCGAGCGCAGGCGGUUUUUUAAGUCUGAUGUGAAAGCCUUCGGCUCAACCGAAGAAGUGCAUCGGAAACUGGGAAACUUGAGUGCAGAAGAGGACAGUGGAACUCCAUGUGUAGCGGUGAAAUGCGUAGAUAUAUGGAAGAACACCAGUGGCGAAGGCGGCUGUCUGGUCUGUAACUGACGCUGAGGCUCGAAAGUAUGGGUAGCAAACAGGAUUAGAUACCCUGGUAGUCCAUACCGUAAACGAUGAAUGCUAAGUGUUGGAGGGUUUCCGCCCUUCAGUGCUGCAGCUAACGCAUUAAGCAUUCCGCCUGGGGAGUACGGCCGCAAGGCUGAAACUCAAAGGAAUUGACGGGGGCCCGCACAAGCGGUGGAGCAUGUGGUUUAAUUCGAAGCUACGCGAAGAACCUUACCAGGUCUUGACAUACUAUGCAAAUCUAAGAGAUUAGACGUUCCCUUCGGGGACAUGGAUACAGGUGGUGCAUGGUUGUCGUCAGCUCGUGUCGUGAGAUGUUGGGUUAAGUCCCGCAACGAGCGCAACCCUUAUUAUCAGUUGCCAGCAUUAAGUUGGGCACUCUGGUGAGACUGCCGGUGACAAACCGGAGGAAGGUGGGGAUGACGUCAAAUCAUCAUGCCCCUUAUGACCUGGGCUACACACGUGCUACAAUGGAUGGUACAACGAGUUGCGAACUCGCGAGAGUAAGCUAAUCUCUUAAAGCCAUUCUCAGUUCGGAUUGUAGGCUGCAACUCGCCUACAUGAAGUCGGAAUCGCUAGUAAUCGCGGAUCAGCAUGCCGCGGUGAAUACGUUCCCGGGCCUUGUACACACCGCCCGUCACACCAUGAGAGUUUGUAACACCCAAAGUCGGUGGGGUAACC